AUGCAUCCCUUAAGUGUUUCCAUAGUGGUGCUCUGGCUUCAACUGAGGGGGGUGAGCAGCCAGCAGAAGGUGCAGCAGACCCCGGGAUCUCUCAGUGUCCCAGAAGGAGACACGGCCUCUCUCAACUGCACUUUCAGCGAUAGGGCUUCACAGUCUUUCUGGUGGUACAGACAGCAUCCUGGGAAAAGCCCCAAGGCUCUGACGUCCAUCUUCACUGACGGUAAAAAUGAAGAAGGCAGAUUCACAGCUCGUCUCAAUAGAGCCAGCCUGCAUCUUUCCCUGCACAUCAGAGACUCCCAGCCCAGUGACUCAGCUGUCUACCUGUGUGCAGUGAGCACACAGCGCUCCCCAGGCACCUGCAGCCUGCACACAAACCCACUGGGCCCCAGCAAGGGCUUAGAUAGUGCACAGACCACAGGCUGUGGAAACUCUGUUUCUUUUCUAAAUGCAACGUGA